CCUACGGGUGGCAGCAGUGGGGAAUAUUGGACAAUGGGGGAAACCCUGAUGCAGCGACGCCGCGUGAGCGAAGAAGUAUCUCGGUAUGUUAAGCUCCAUCAGCCGGGGAGCAAAUGACGGUACGUGAGUCAGAAGCUCCGGCUAAAUACGUGCCAGCAGCAGCGGUAAUACGUCAGGAGCAAGCGUUAUCCGGAUUUACUGGGCGUAAAGGGGGUGUAGGCGGCCUGCCAGGUGCGAUGGUAAAUAGUGGGGGUCCAACCCGGGGCUGCAGUGGAAACUGGCAGGCUGGAGUGCCGGAGAGGUAGGCGGAAUUCGCAGUGUAGCGGUGAAAUGCGUAGAUAUUGGGAGGAACACCAGUGGCGAAGGCAGCAUGCUGGACGGGGACUGACGCUGAGGCUCGAAAGCGUGGGGAGCGAACAGGAUUAGAUACCCGAGUAGUC
rnacentral:rRNA from 1 species